CUCUCCUGCUGUGUUUGGCAAUGGUAGAACUCACACUGGUGAGAUAACAGAAUCCGGUGGUUCUAGACUUGCCAACUACGGCUUGAGAGGGCAGCCGGC
ensembl:miRNA